GAAGGCGAACGAGGAAAAGGGAAAGUAAAUCAAAAGUUCUAUGCCGCUGCAAAUAUGUAUAAAAGUACUCGAAAGUAAUAAUCCUGCAAGUCAAUUUGCUGAAUUCAAAUCGUUUAUCAAAAAGUCAUUCACUGUAUAAAAAGCUCUCUCCAGCAAAUAAGCUUUCAAGGCCUUGCGAAAAGCGAGAAAUGCUGCAAUAGAUUUGAUGUUAGAUGGCAGGUGAUUGUACAUUUUUCUCGAAUUGUAUAGUAUAGAGCACUUAAGGCAGGUUCUUGCAUUUGUCGAUUACGAGAAAGCUUUUAAUUCUGUAGAGUUUGAAUCAGUACUGGAAGCUCUAAAGCAAAGCCGAAUAUUACAGGUGUACGUCAUUAAUCAAAAACAUCUAUGAUAGCGCUACAUCAAGUAUACAACUACACGAAGACACAGACAAAUUCCGCUUAAGUCGAGGAGGAAGACAAAGAGACAAUAUUUCACCAAAAUCGUUCACGGCAGCUCUAGAGUCAAUAUUUAAGAAUAUUCAAUUAGUCCAGAGAAAUAAGGUUUUUGUCGGGACACUUGAGCAGCCAGGUUGCAAAUGGAUUUUUUGGGUACUAUAUACCUAAUACAUUAUAAAUACAAACAUGCCCGUCACAGUUCGGACGAGAAACUUAGUUAUUAAUAAAUAAGGGUCAAAAAUGGCAGUUUUUUCGUUUAAAUCGCUACAGGUAAAAAUAGGGUAAUUAAAUAUCUUAUUUAUAAUAUUUUUCUUUUUGUAGAUGAGCCAAGGUUUAAAAUGGCACUUUUUGAAUUUUGGUCCGAUCCUUUUUUGUUUCGGAAAGUGCAAAAUAAGACUAAAAUUUCAAAAAUAAAAAAUGUGCUAUAACUUUUGCGAAAAUGGCCUUAAGACUUUCAUAUUGCACAAAAAGUUGAGUCAAACAUUCCGUAUAAUGUACAAAAAAUUUUAAGACGAUUCGUCAAUUAGUUUAAAUUUUAUUCAAUUUGUUUAUCGCAAAGAGCUUUUUUCGCAAUGUUAUUGUUCAGAAAAUAAUAAUGACAUAGCAAUUCUGUGGAAACCACAUACAAGAAUAAUAGUUAUAUUUUUAAAGUAUUGAAAAAAAUCAUUAAAAAGUCGUUUUUAUCACUCCGAAAAAAGUUUAGUAAAAUAGAGUCAUUUUUGGCUUCUAAACAAUUUGAAUAACUUGUUAAUAUUGACUAUAGAGUAAAUCUACUUCAGGAUUUCAAAAGCUGGUAUUUUUAUACGAAUUUUCAGAAAAAAACUUUUUGCCCAGGUUAAUUAGGUUCAAAGUUAGCCACUUUUAUUCUUUAAUUUGUAGUUACUUCUAUAUACAUCAAAUUCUCCUGUAACAGUGUUAGUUACCAUACUACGAAACGGCUUGGCCGAUUUUUAUAAAAUUUUACACGUUUAUCCUGUAGGACGUUGAAGAGGUUUUAAUCUAUUUUUAUACCCAUAAGUUAUAAUGGGGGUUGCCCCCCUGACAUUUUUUUUUAUUUUUUUGGACAAAAUUAUCUACCUUAAUUUUAUAUGAUGUAGAAUUAAAAAAUAAAUACAACCCUUAAUUUUCAUUCUUCUAUCACCAACUCCAAUUUGUUAAUAGCCAUCUAUAUAUUUACAUCUUUAAAAUUCUCCUGUCACAGUGUUAGUUUCCAUACUCCUCCGAGACCGCUUGACCGAUUUUUAUGAAAUUAUAUAUGUAUAUUCGGUAGGUCUUAGAAUCGGUCGUAAUCUAUUUUUCAUAUCCCUGAGUGAUAAGGGGAGUUCCCCCUAACAUUUUGUAAUGUUAGGUGGGGUUGUGUGUACAUAACGUACCCUAUAAGACUACGAGUACAUACAAAUUUAAAAAAUUAUGAUCAAAAGCCAUCAACAAGUUGCAGCGAUAUUAAUCGCAGCAUAUGUUUGCAGAUUCAGUUUCAUUUUUUGAGUGCACGUAUUUUAGUAAUUCCCCUCCACCGACCACGAAUUAAUUCCGUUCAAACGCCAUUUUUAAAGCUUUAUUAACCACUCUGUUGAGGUUCAAAGUUUACUCAAACUUUUACACAUAACCUAUACAGGGUGUUUCAUUAAUAAUUGUCCAUACAGUAACUGGAGAAACCUUAGCACAAAAUACGAAGAUUUAAUCUAAAACACCUACAUAAAAUGUGGUUCCUUACUGAGUUACAGGGUGUUUUAUCUAAAAAUUUAAAAACUAUUUUUGCUCAGCAUUUUAAAACUAUUCGAUGUAUCCUUUUCAUACUUGGCAAAAAGUGCGACUACUAGACACCCUACUAAAUUACGAUAAACAAACGUUUCUAGCUACUACCAGAGGCGUACGACAGGGGAUGGUGAAUGGUUAGCCUUUCUCAAAUUCUAGGCCACUGGAGGAAUUACUAUUUUCGUACCAUUUUUAGAUUCUCCAAUACUUUCUACGUAAAUAAUAUACUCUUCAUUGGUAUCGAUAAAGUCAUUAGUUUUCGAGAUAUUUGAAGUUAAAUAUGAAACGGCACAGUUAUUUUGAUUAAUUUAUGUUAUUAUGAUUCAUAUGAUGAAAAUUUAAAAAUUAUUUGUACCCAGUACUUUAAAACUAUUUGGCGUAUCCUUAUCAUACUUGGUAGAAAUUGUAGGUACUGUAAAACCUACUAAAUUAAGAUAAAUAGACUUUUCUAGCUACUACCAGAGGAGUACGACAGGGGAUAGUGGCUGGUUGACCCUUCCCAAAUUCUACGCCACUGACGAAAUUGCUAUUUUAGUGUACAUUUUUGAUUUUGCAUUACUUUUUAUGUAAAUAAUAUACUCUUCAUUCGUAACGAUAAAAUAAUUAGUUUUCGAGAUAUUUGAAAUUAAAAAUGAAGCGACACAAUACAUUAAUCAAAAUAACCGUGUCGUUUCAUUUUUAACUUCAAAGAUCUCGAAAACUAAUGACUUUAUCGUUACGAAUGAAGAGUAUAUUAUUUUCAUAGAAAGUAUUGGAGAAUCCAAAAAUUGAACUAAAAUGGCAAUUUCGCCAGUGGCGUAGAAUUUGAGAAGGGUCAACCAUUCACUUUCCCCCGUCGUACGCCUCUGGUAAUAGCCAGAAACGUUUGUUUAACAUAAUUUAGUAGUGUGUACAGUACCUAUACUUCCUGCCAAGUAUGAAAAGGAUACGUCGAACAGUUUUAAAAUGCUGAGCAAAAAUAGUUUUUAAAUUUUUAGAUAAAACACCCUGUAACUCAGUAAGGAACCACAUUUUAUUUAGAUGUUUUAGGUUAAAUCUCCGUAUUUUGUGCUAAGGUUUCUCCAGUUACUAUAUGGACAAUUAUUAAUGAAACACCCUGUAUAUCUUCAACUUCGAAAUGGCUCUAGUUAGGUUGCAUAAUUGUUAUAAACAAAGUAGCCGUCAAUUAAAUAAAAAAAGUGACUAACUUUGACCGUAAUUAACCUAGGCGAAAAGUUUUUCUUUGAAAAUUCGUAUAAAAAUACCAGUUUUUCAAAUCCUAUUGUAGUUUUAGCCUACAGUCAAUAUUAACAAAGUUAUUCAAAUUGUUUAUAAGCGAAAAAUGACUCUAUUUUAGUAAAAUGUUUUCUGAGUGAUAAAAAUGACUUUUUAAUGAUUUUUUUAAAUGCGUUGAAAAUGUGACUAUUCUUCUUUCAUGUUGUUUUCACAGAAUUGCUGUAUCAUUAUUAUUUUCUGAACAAUAACAUUGCGAAAAGAAAGCUCUUUGGGAUAAACAAAUUGAAUAAAAUUUAAACUAAUUGAUGCAUCGUCUUAAAAUUUUUUGUGCAUUGUAUGGACUGUUUGACUCAACUUUUCGUGCAAUAUGAAAGUCCUUAAUUCAGUUUCGCAAAAGUUAUAGCAAAUUUUUUAUUUUCGAAAUCUUAGUUUUAUUUUGCAAUAUACGAAGCAACAAAUAAUCGCACCAAAAUUUAAAAAACGCUUUUUUAAACCUUGGCUCAUCUACUAAAAGAAAAAUAUUAUAAAUAAGACAUUUAAUUACCCUAUUUUUACCUGUAGCGAUUUAAACGAAAAAACUCUCAUUUUUGACCCUUAUUUGUUAAUAACUAAAUUUCUCGUCCAAACUGUGACGGGCAUUUUUGUAUUUAUAAUGUAUUAGGUAUAUAGUACCCAAAAAACCCAUUUGCAACCCGGCUGCUCAAGUGUCCCGAACAUGGUACAUUUUUGUCUUAUUUCCCUGGUGUAAAUGGCAAGAUACGGGCAUCAAUAUAGGUGGAAAAAAAUUAAAUAAUCAUCUGAGGUUUGCAGACAAUGUUGUAUUAAUCGUAGACAACUUAAAAGAUACAGUUUCUAUGAUACAUUCGCUUAAAACUCUGAGAGAGCACGAUUAAAAAUAAAUUUUUUAUGACAAAACUAAACUGAUGGCAAAUCUCGUAAUGAGUGGAAAUAUAGCUAUACCGGUUGGUGAAUCGUAAAACGGGCCAUAGGAAACUCAAUGUAAAAUUCUAAACUGUCGAAUUCCUGCUUCCCUAAUUAUUUUACAUCAAAAGUCAUGAGAGAAUAUUUGUAGAGGAUUGAAAUCUGUAUUAAAAUCAAAAGUUAAAAUUGUUCUACGAUUUAAACGCAUUCCAAAAUUUUGAAAAAUAUAAUACAUUUGCACAGUAGGUAUGUGUGUCAAAGUUAGGCCACACGUUACUAUUUAACUGACAGUGCUCACACCAUUGACUGAAUAAAAAAAUCUUUAUUACUAAUACUUUCUCCGCAACUGAGGGUAUCUUAUCAACUGUGUUUUUAAACAAUAAAUGAUAAAAUAAAAAUAUUGACAGUUUAAAAAAAAUGUGAAAAUAAUAACUUCAUUGUGACCCAUUAUUGCACUGUGCUUGGCCUAAUUUUGGGCUGAAAAACUGAAAAAUGUAUUACGUUUUUACAAAAUUUUGGAACAUGUUUAAUUCGUAGAACACUUUUAACAGUUGUUUUCAAUACAGAUUUCAAUCCUCUACAAAUAGUUUCUAAUGACUUUUGAUGUAAAAUAAUUAGGGAAGCAGGAAUUCAACAGUUUAGAAUUUUACAUUGAGUUUCCUAUGGCCCGUUUUCCAAUUCACCACCCGGUAUAUAUAACACCGGUUUAUAGCGUCCUGUGCCUUCCGAUUCCUAUUUUCCAGCCGCGUCGAUCUGUCCAUAUCUGUCCUGGUUGUAGAUCUCUCUCAGACAUUGCUUUCUGGAUUCCACUUAUCCAGGUAGUUUUCGGUCUGCCCUUUUCCUUCUUUCCGGGGGUUGCCAUUCCAUUAUUAGCUUUGGGAGUCGAUAUUCCUCCAUUCUUUGUACAGAGCCAUACCAACAAAGUUUUUUUUCUUGGAUUUAUUCUAUUAUGUUUGUUUUCCUAUGCAUAAUAUCUCGUACUCGUUCAUUCGUUGUGUGUGGGACUCUAGAGAUGCAGGUCGAUCUUCGCCAAGAGUCCAUUUCCAGUGCGAGCAACUUCUGUUCGCUUAUUCAGUUGCCAGGUUUCACAUCCAUACAGUAUUACGCUUUUAAAGAUGCUAUUACAUAGCUGUGUUUUCUUUUCUUUUGAUAUGGCUUUUGACCAAAAUAGUGAGUUCAAAGCUCCUAUUAUUGUCUUUUCUUUCAUAAUUCUUUCCUCUGUUUCGAAUUAUGUCCUUCCACUUUGUUGGAUUCUCGUUCCAAGGUAUACAUAAUCACAGCUUGGCUCAAUAAUCAUAUCCUCUAGUUCUAACUCUUUUUUUUCUCCUCCUAUACACAUUUAUUUGGUUUUCUCUAUAUUGACGUAUAGACCUCAUAUUUUGUAUUCUCAUUUUGUAUGUCAUAAAUAUUAGAUCAUCUUUAUCCUGGGCAAUCACCACCUGAUCAUCAGCAAAAUGUAGUGUGUAUAGUGUUGAGUCGUCGUUUAGCUGUACCUAUCCCCAUGCCAGAACAUGCUUUCCGCCAUUUAUUCAAGACCUCAUUUAUAUGGAUUUUAAACAAUGUAGGCGAUAAGCUGCAUCCCUGUCGUAGACCCUUAUUCACCAGGAAGGUAUCGGAUAAUCUGGUGUUGAUUUUUAUGUUUGCUUGAAUGUUGUUAUAGAAUUUUUGUAAUACUUUUAUUAAAGUUAUAAAAGUAGAUGAUUUUUCCAUUUGUUUCAAGCGAAAGGUUUAUAACCAAUGUGUUUUACCCGUACAAACUUAUGGAGCAGAGACUUUAACACUAACGCAAAAAUCCGAGAAUAAACUCAGAGUUACAUAACGAACCAUGGAACGUGUAGCGAACACUGAAAGGAACUGAGGAAGGCCUGUGCCCACCAGUGGACGCGAUUGGCCGAUUGAUAGGAAGCAGAAGAUCCAUUAGAAUCAAAAGUCUUCUGUAUUGGGGAAGGCAAUGGGAAAUCACCUUAAUUAAUAAUUAAGUAGAGGACAAGCAAACAGGGCUUCCCAGGCUGUAAAUCAGCGAAAUCCCUGCUUAUUAAAUAUGCACAAAAACCUCAAAAUUGCGACAAGGAAUAUUAAGAAAUAUUGAACAGGAGAUGCAUAAACUUUGGAGAAAUAUAAAGAAAGGAAGAAUCUAUUAUUCGGAAAACACAGAUAUGGAGUCACCAUUACACCAGCAAAAAGUAAAGGGCUUAAAGUCAAUCAAUGACAAAAAUCUGGAUAUUCUAGUGGAAGUAUUCGAUAAAUUGUAUUACACAACAGAAAUCAUCAUCGUCAAACUUCUUCUUCUUCUUCCUCAGCUUAUUCCUUUUCAGGGGUCGCUGUUCGUUACUCUUCUUCGCCACUCAUAUCUGUCCAUCGGGUCUUCUUCACCUACAUACCUUUCUCUCCCAAGUUUUAUGCCACACAGUCCUUUCAUUUUUUCCUCGGUUUGCCUCUAUUCUGUCCUUCCAUAAACUUCUAACAGCUCUAUCCUUCGUUCCACAUAGUUUUUAUUUCUACGUGUAACAUGACCAAACCAUUGCAGUCUUUGUUCUUGAAUAUUUUUUGAGACUAUCGUCACCCCGGAUCUUCUCCUAAUUAAGUCGUGCCUGCUUCUGUUCCUUCUAGUCUUACUCAUCAUCUGAAAACCCACCGUCACUGGAAAACUUUCAGCCAAUCCCACAUAAGUCCUUACUUUGACGUAUGCUUCUUAAUACGUAUUCUUCACGAUCCUUAUGUACUUCUGAGGAACCCGUUUCUCUCUCAUACAUCUCCAUAGCCGAUGUCUAGGAACCAUAUCGCACGUCUUCUCAAGAUCCAGAAAUACCAAAUGUAGCUCUCUUUUCUUCUCGCCAUAUAUCUCUGUCAACUGUCUUAAAGCAAACCAGGCAUCUGUUGUCCUCCUUUCUGGCAUAAACCCAACUGUUGUUCUCCUAUCGAUGUAUCUCUCCCUAAACUUCGUUCUCUCCCGAAUUUUCAGUCCUGAAUAUCCCUUUUAUCUUUAUACAAUGGUACCAUCACUCUCCAUCCAUUGGGCAUAAUUUCUUCCUCAUAUAUCCGACUCAUCAUUUUCUACAAAAUAUUAACUUCUUCCUCUCCUAGAGUCUUCCAAACCUUCACAUCAAGUCCUACUGCUUUACCAUGCUUCAUCCUAUUUAACGCCUCGACACUCGUCUGUCGCUAUCCCCGGUGUAUUACAUUCUCAUUUGGGAUCCCGUAUCCUCUGUCUCUCCUCUGGUGUUCUUCGUUUAGUAACUUUCUAAAGUACUCAUACCAUCAUCAUCAUGGCUUACUCACUCCUUUCGGAGUGUUUGUCGCCCUUCCGGCUCUCUGAUUCAUUUGUUGCGGAGAAUCAGUCCGCUGUUGUCUUUUUAUUAUUAUAACAGCGUGUUGUGUGACUUGGCCUUGUCUACAAUUAUCCUUCAUUUUUUCCGGUCCUUACAUCGCUCCUUUCAAUUGUAGUUUCUUAGCUUCUUUAUGUCUCCUAAGACUUGAUCUCUCCAUACUGUUUUGGGUCUUCCCUUUGGUCUCUUUGUUGUUGGUCUCCAGCCGGUUAUUUGCUUUAGCGUAGAAUCUGGGUUAGCUCUUUCUAUGUAUCCCAGCCACCUGAGCCUUUACGCCUUCGCGAACUUGAUUAUGUCUUCACCCUAAAUGGCUUCUCUUUUGUAGGGAUUGAUGUUAUCAGACCGCAGUUCCAGUCACUCGGCAUGCGUUUUUCUUCCCAUAUUUGUUCAGAGUACUCAUACCGUCUUUGCUUUAUUUCAACAUCAGUUAUUAGCACUUUACCAUCCGUACUCUCAUCUGCUCUACGUGAGUCAAUUCCUUUGGUGACUUGUCCCUUGCUUUAAAUAUGCUAUAUAACCGUUUCCAUCCCUCGGGUGUUUCCAACUCUUCAUAUAGUUGUGCAGACGAUCUUUCCUUAGCAAUAGCCACAGCGCGCUUUACUUCUCUGAGAGGAGUCAAACACGGAUGAAUAUUAUCACUAAAAAUUUACUGUGAGAAAAUAAUAUAGAAAUCUAUUGAACCAGAAGCAGCAGGGAUAGAGUCAUUUGUGAAUUGUCAGAUUGUGCUUGUAGGGUGUCAUCCUCAAAGUAGUUACUAACACAUAUUAAUAAAAUGAUACAAUGUUCAAACGUUUUGUUGAAUUUAAUAUACUAUUUUUUUGUGCAAUUAUUUAAACUGUAAUUUUAUAAUAAAAAUAAAAAUCUUAUGUAGA
rnacentral:lncRNA from 1 species